CUGGAUAGCCAGUGAUCUUGGAUAUAGCCAGUAAUCUUGGAUACGUCUUGAGAGUACAGCACAGUUUAUGUGUUAUAACUGACGUUUUGCAAAUUGUUGGUACAACUCCACUGGUGAUACUACUAUUAAACAAUUUAGCAAAAAUAGGAGCAAGUUGCCUGCUACAAUAUUUAAUAACACAAGAAUUAAUUUGCUUGACGUUUUUCUUGGAGCAGUUUUUUUAAUCUUCCAUUAAUCCACGGUUUUUCAUUUGGAUCAUCGAUUUAUCAAGCGCAUGCAGGGUAUCACAAAGGGACAACAAAGAUUAAAGUGUUAACAAAUAUUAAACAUGAUUUUUUAAAAUAAAUAUUUAUACAGUAUUGAAACCAAAAAAAUAUUAUCACAAGUAGGUGUAUUGAAUAUUAACCCACUCAAGCGAAUGUCUGGGAGGCCUAUUCUAAGUCAUAACUUGCUACGGGUCAAUGCCAGGUCGCAAAUCUGUUUUUAUGAGUUGUGCAUCGUUUGCUAUGUAGUUUAUAAAAACAUUAGUAAAGUGUUAGUAGAUAUUGUUUUUAUUAUCCUUAGCUACCUUUCAACAUUUUAAAAAGUUUUUCCUUUUUAUUAUUCAUGGUCGUUUGAUGUUUUUAUUAUGUACCAAUCUUGUAUUAUUUAUGAAUUUUGACAUUGUACUGUAUAGUAUUUAUAUAUGUUUGCCAAGCAACACAAUUUACUGUAUUUUUAUAUGAACAAAUGCAAUUUCUUUAAUCCUGAAUUUGGCUUUAUCUAAAUAAAAACAAAAAGCCUCCCUCCCUCCCUCAUCACUUUUCUAGCCUAGAUAGGGUGAUAAACUAAUAAUUUUUUUUUAUUGGGCGUUAAUCUAAAUUUAUUAUCUUUGGAGAAUACUCUCCUAGAACCUCCAAGCAAAUUAUGUACAACCGUUAUCUUUAAUAUCGUUGACGAUGUCUUUGUAUUAUUAGCUACAUUUAUAAUUAUGUAAGGGGUUCAAGAUUCAUUUAUUAUCGUCAUACAUAGUACAAUGAGAUUUGUUUCUUGAAGUUGAUACAGAAACAGUGAAGAUCUAAAACAAUACUAUAAAAUUGGUUAGGCCAAUACUUGAAUAUGCUGUCGGGCGCAAGUAGUAAGGUCAGAAUCGCUGUCUUAGAACUAUUUAUAGCCUAAACAUUCUUCAUCUGUUACGUCGGAUUUUGUAAUUAUUUUCGUAUUUUGUAAUACCUGUCAUAUUUUGUAAUAAAUAUUGUAGUAUUUUGUAACAAACCUUGUCGUAUU